AACGAACGCUGGCGGCAGGCCUAACACAUGCAAGUCGAACGCUCCAGCAAUGGAGAGUGGCAGACGGGUGAGUAACGCGUGGGAACCUUCCCUAUGGUUCGGAAUAGCUCAGGGAAACUUGAGGUAAUACCGGAUAAGCCCUUCGGGGGAAAGAUUUAUCGCCAUUGGAUGGGACCCGCGUAGGAUUAGCUAGUUGGUGAGGUAACGGCUCACCAAGGCGACGAUCCUUAGCUGGGUCUGAGAGGAUGAUCAGCCACACUGGGACUGAGACACGGCCCAGACUCCUACGGGUGGCAG
rnacentral:rRNA from 1 species